GACGAACGCUGGCGGCGUGCUUAACACAUGCAAGUCGAACGGAAAGGCCCUGCUUUUGUGGGGUGCUCGAGUGGCGAACGGGUGAGUAACACGUGAGUAACCUGCCCUUGACUUUGGGAUAACUUCAGGAAACUGGGGCUAAUACCGGAUAGGAGCUCCUGCUGCAUGGUGGGGGGUGGAAAGUUUCGGCGGGUGGGGAUGGACUGGCGGCUUAUCAGCUUGUUGGUGGGGUAGUGGCUUACCAAGGCUUUGACGGGUAGCCGGCCUGAGAGGGUGACCGGCCACAUUGGGACUGAGAUACGGCCCAGACUCCUACGGGAGGCAGCAGUGGGGAAUAUUGCACAAUGGGCGGAAGCCUGAUGCAGCAACGCCGCGUGCGGGAUGACGGCCUUCGGGUUGUAAACCGCUUUCGCCUGUGACGAAGCGUGAGUGACGGUAAUGGGUAAAGAAGCACCGGCUAACUACGUG
rnacentral:rRNA from 1 species